rnacentral:rRNA from 1 species
AUUGAACGCUGGCGGCAGGCCUAACACAUGCAAGUCGAGCGGAUGACGGGAGCUUGCUCCUUGAUUCAGCGGCGGACGGGUGAGUAAUGCCUAGGAAUCUGCCUGGUAGUGGGGGACAACGUUCCGAAAGGGGCGCUAAUACCGCAUACGUCCUACGGGAGAAAGUGGGGGAUCUUCGGACCUCACGCUAUCAGAUGAGCCUAGGUCGGAUUAGCUAGUUGGUGAGGUAAAGGCUCACCAAGGCGACGAUCCGCAACUGGUCUGAGAGGAUGAUCAGUCACACUGGAACUGAGACACGGUCCAGACUCCUACGGGAGGCAGCAGUGGGGAAUAUUGGACAAUGGGCGAAAGCCUGAUCCAGCCAUGCCGCGUGUGUGAAGAAGGUCUUCGGAUUGUAAAGCACUUUAAGUUGGGAGGAAGGGCAGUAAGUUAAUACCUUGUUGUUUUGACGUUACCGACAGAAUAAGCACCGGCUAACUCUGUGCCAGCCGCCGCAGUAACAC